AAGGAGGGUUCAUGUUCUGUGCGAUUGUGUCGUGAUCACAACAGAUCUUUUAUCUGUACUUGUGGAAAAUGCCACUGUUUUACUAUAAAUACAGCGACAAGUUCUAGUCGAUCACAAAACCCUUUGACAAGAGAGGAUGAAGAUAGCUCUGGUGUUUCUCCUGCUGGUGGUUGUCUUCGUAAUCCAGGACACAGAUUCCUGGAGAAGAAGGAGAAGAAGAAGGUGGUUCAGAGCUCCAAGAAUACGCAUCAGGAAGAUAUUCCGACCCGUCACUAAAGUCAUAAAGAAGAUAAGGCCGGUGUUGAAGAAAAUUAUCAAACCCAUCGUCCAAGGAGUCAAGGCAGUUGUCAAGAGCCCAUUUUGAAACCAUUACAGGCAAAGAAGGUGUGUGCCCCGCUCCAGUGCCUAACUGGCCGAGACCCUAACUUGGCAGACCGGAGGACUGACAAUUCUGUGGAAGAAAGAGGCACUGGAAAAGAUCUGGAAGAACAGUCUGACAAGAUGAUGACAAGAAGAGCGCAAGAGAUGGAGGACUGGUUGAGAUGUACGACAAGGAGGGUCGAGUCUUGGAGGGUCUGAAUGAGCUGGUGAAUACCAAGCUGGGACGUGAGGGAACUUCACCAAGUCCUGCAGGAUCCUGUCAGGUCAAAGAGGUUGUUGAAGUACGUGGGCAAGGCGCUGUGUGGAAAGACCGGCGGUAGCCAGGAUGGAAAGUGAAGAUGGCCAGGGUCCGGAAAAGGACGUUGAUCAAGUUGUCACUGUCCCUUACACUGUCAUUGAGUACGUGACAGCAGCUCCUGCCGGGUAGACCUCGAGAAGACUCCGUAUAACCCACUCAUCUGUACUGAGUAUGAUUGUCUCAAUAAAAACAAGCAAUGCA